UACGUAGGGGCAAGCGUUGUCCGGAUUCAUUGGGCGUAAAGAGCGUGUAGGCGGCCAGGUAGGUCGGUUGUGAAAACUGGAGGCUCAACCUUCAGACGUCGACCGAAACCAUCUGGCUAGAGUCCGGGAGAGGAGAGUGGAAUUCCUGGUGUAGCGGUGAAAUGCGCAGAUAUCAGGAAGAACACCCGUGGCGAAAGCGGCUCUCUGGAACGGUACUGACGCUGAGACGCGAAAGCGUGGGGAGCGAACAGG
rnacentral:rRNA from 1 species